GACGAACGCUGGCGGCGUGCCUAAUACAUGCAAGUAGAACGCGUGGCGGACGGGUGAGUAAUGUCUGGGAAACUGCCUGAUGGAGGGGGAUAACUACUGGAAACGGUAUCUAAUAUCGCAUACCAUCAGAUGUGCCCCGAUGGGAUGAGCUAGUAGGUGGGGUAACGGCUCACCUAGGCGAGGAUCCCUAGCUGGUCUGAGAGGAUGACCAGCCACACUGGAACUGAGACAAGGUCCAGACUCCUACGGGAGGCAGCAGUGGGGAAUAUUGCACAAUGGGCGCAAGCCUGAUGCAGCCAUGCCGCGUGUAUGAAGAAGGCCUUCGGGUUGUAAAGUACUUUCAGCGGGGAGGCGUUACCCGCAGAAGAAGCACCGGCUAACUCCGUGCCAGCAGCCGCGGUAAUUC
rnacentral:rRNA from 1 species